UAAAUACUCUCUCCGUCCCAAAAUUCUCGUCUUAGAUUUGUCUAGAUACGGAUAGAUACAUCCGUAUCUAGACAAAUCUAAGACACGAAUUUUGGGACGAAGGGAGUAUUUG
rnacentral:pre_miRNA from 1 species